UACGAAGGGGGCUAGCGUUGCUCGGAAUCACUGGGCGUAAAGGGUGCGUAGGCGGGGCUUUAAGUCAGGGGUGAAAUCCUGGAGCUCAACUCCAGAACUGCCUUUGAUACUGGCUGUCUUGAGUAUGGGAGAGGUUAGCGGAACUCCGAGUGUAGAGGUGAAAUUCGUAGAUAUUCGGAAGAACACCAGUGGCGAAGGCGGCUCACUGGACUGGUAUUGACGCUGAUGUGCGAAAGCGUGGGGAGCAAACAGG
rnacentral:rRNA from 1 species